rnacentral:rRNA from 1 species
GGCGGACGGGUGAGUAACGCGUGGGUAACCUGCCUCAUACAGGGGGAUAACAGUUAGAAAUGACUGCUAAUACCGCAUAAGACCACAGCACCGCAUGGUGCAGGGGUAAAAACUCCGGUGGUAUGAGAUGGACCCGCGUCUGAUUAGGUAGUUGGUGGGGUAACGGCCUACCAAGCCGACGAUCAGUAGCCGACCUGAGAGGGUGACCGGCCACAUUGGGACUGAGACACGGCCCAA